GGCAGCUAUGCUAAAGUAGCAGACUCCUGAGCCACUGAUGGAGGAGAAAAAACAAAUAAGAUAGAACAUGGUCCAGAGUGGGAGAAGAGACCCCCUCCAUGUGGGGGGUGUAGAUGGGGAAGGGCCUAUGCAGUAAUGAAACGUCAGGGAGCAGAAAGCAGGUCAGGAAGUAAAAGAAAAAGGAAAAGCUGACAGCAUGGGUAGGCAUCUCCAGAAUAAAGUACCCCAACUCUGUGUUCAGCCAGUCAGAAAAUCAGUCACCCACCAGAUACAACUUUCUGGUAGCCCUGGAGUACUGUUGGUGCUGGGAAUACAAGCUGCUGGAGGGAGCAAAACCUCAGGAGGGACGCUGCCCAAAACCAAUUCCAUCACCUCGGAUCCCCAUCUCAGUUCCUUUAGAUUUCCAGUCAGGCCUUUGGUCUGCAGACCCUGCCAUCAACACCUGCUUUCCUGGAGUGUUUGAUGCUCAGAAAACCAGGCUGCCUGGCGCCUGUCUUUCCCAGAGCCAGGCGUGCAUUUUGCAUUGUUUGUAGUCUGUGUCUUGGAGUCAUUACUCAGUGGUACAAGCGUGCGUGCACGCGUGUGGAGCGGGGAGGGGGGGAAUAAUUGUGCCAUUAAUGAUUGCUAUUUUGAUUACAGGAUGCAAUUGUCACUGCCGUUGGAAGCCAAUCAACGCGUUGUGAGUGGGAGCCCGCUGGUGCUUUCCAAUGGUCCUUGAUUAAAAAGGAAGCUCUUGGCUAUCUUCAAGCAGCAGGAGAGGAAACAGCACGGGUGAAGGUGAAAAGGCAGAAGGUUAUAUUUUGGCAUCAGGAGCAAUAUUGGAUGACUUAGGACUCACACAUUUGGCACUCUGACUGACUUGCAUCUGAGACAGGCUGAUGGGGACGCAAACAGAGAUGAUGGGUUUACCCAGAUGGGCGAGGAAUUGUGGACCAGUCCUGCAAGGAAACUCCAGUGACCAGACUGAUUCAGCGGAGGUACAACCAGCAUUACUUUCAGGGUCGGUGACUUAUCACAGCCUUGGAGCCGGCUUAACUCCAGAAAAAGCUGCGAAUGGUCAGAGCACCAAGGUGUCUGCCCCAUGAAUGAGGCUGGAUGAGCAAAGGUGUCGUCACGCGAACCAGACUGAGCAGGAGAAGGGCUCUGACCACGGCAGGACCUUGGAAGCUGCAGCCUCCUCCCUCUGCGGCACACCUGAAGUACCUGUCCUGAAAUCAAUGGGCCUAUGCAGAACCAAUCCUGGGGUAAAUGACAGAAGAUUCUUUAAGGUGAAUCACUUUGUGGCUACUGAGAUGAAAAUAACCCUGUCUGUGCUUGUACCUUUCUGUUUUUUCCUUGCAUUCGUUGAUACGUGUUUUAACAUUGGUUCAGAUUUACUUAGAAAUAUUUUCAUACUUCCUUUCAAG